GCGCCUGAAGGGGCGGAGGAAAGCGCUUCCGCGCAAGCGCGUUCGCGUGCUCUCGCCUUCUAGAGAAGUUACUGCGCAGGUUCGCGUGGAACCUACGGGGAGACCAGUAGGUCUUGGAGGGCUAGGUUUGUCACUUUUCUGGACUUUUUACAAUUUUUAAUGCCACCGACUACUACUUACUGGACGCAUGUGGUACACCGGCUACAAUGCUAACCAUACAAUUACAGCGUUCACUCAACGUGAUUCCUUUGAUGGGAGCAGAGAAAUCGUUACCACAUUUUCCACAAUUUGACCACCGCUUCCCACCCUCCAACUUGGUCUGCUAUUCUCCCCUUCCCAGAAAGUUUAGCGCACUUCGCAAGGCCGCGUUAUGACUUUCGUGGAACCGCGACACAUUGGCCUUGUGUUUGUGGAGUCCUAGAUUGGAGCGCCGCAAAGAGAUGUUCAUCAUCGGCAUGUGGUGUAAAUGACACAAGCUGGCGGUCAGCUGGAAGAUACAGCAAAUGUACAAGGGGCUACCCAUUCCUAGGGAGAGAGAAUUGGGAUCACUCCAGAAUUCCUCAAAGUGGACUAGCUGGGUUCAAGGAUGUGUGCAUUUUACCCUCAAUAAAUGUGGCCAACAUGCCCUCCUCCAAAAAGCGGAAUCAAUUUACACUCCCAUUAGCAGCCAGCUUAGCAGAGUUUAUUUUCCCACAUCUUUGCCAACAGUGAGUAAGUACAUCAAUCUUUUCAGUGUUUGCCUGAUAGAUUACAAAAAAAAAAAAAAAAAAAGAUUUCU